AAAGUCGUAACAAGGUUUCCGUAGGUGAACCUGCGGAAGGAUCAUUCACAAUAAGUGUUUAUGGCACUUUCAAAUCCAUACCCACCUUGUGUGCAUUGUAAGGGCCCUUUCAACUCCUCGCUCUCCCUCUCUCCCUUGGGAGGGAGGGGAAGAAGGCAGAUUGGGCUUCAUUUUCUCACACGUCUUCAAUUGCAAGUCUAACAUUCAGAGUAAUCAAAACUCGAAUACAACUUUCAACAACGGAUCUCUUGGCUCUC
rnacentral:misc_RNA from 1 species